AAUCUGUCUCAUGCUGGAACCUACUACUGUGCUGUUGCCUCGUGUGGACAUAUUCUGUUUGGAGAUGGGACCAAGCUGGACUUUGAGGAUGAGAAGGACUCUCGUAUCUUGGUGUAUUUGUUGAGUGGAGCUCUAACUUUUACCAUCAUCCUUAAUGUCCUUCUGGUUUUCUUACUUUGCAUGAUGAAAGAGAAACCACUGUGAAGUUACAGAGUUUCAUGCAAGA